UACGUAGGGGGCUAGCGUUGUCCGGAUUUAUUGGGCGUAAAGAGCGUGUAGGCGGCCAGGUAGGUCUGCUGUGAAAUCUCGAGGCUCAACCUCGAGACGUCGGCGGAAACCAUCUGGCUAGAGUCCGGAAGAGGAGAGUGGAAUUCCUGGUGUAGCGGUGAAAUGCGCAGAUAUCAGGAAGAACACCCGUGGCGAAGGCGGCUCUCUGGGACGGUACUGACGCUGAGACGCGAAAGCGUGGGGAGCGAACAGG
rnacentral:rRNA from 1 species